CAUUACCAAAGAACGUCCCGAGCGGGGGGUUGGCGGCUUUCGGUCGUCGGCUCUCGACCAAAACAAACCAUUCUGCGUACCUUUCCCUGUUGCUUCCCCGCGUUCCCAGAGGACGCGGGGGAGGUCCAACCACAGAAACCCUUUUCGAGCAAACCGAAGUCUGAGACGCGGAAACGCGACCGCAGUUAAAUGGAAUAACGCAAAACUUUCAACAACGGAUCUCUUGGUUCCCACAUCGAUGAAGAACGCAGCGAAAUGCGAUAAGUAAUGUGAAUUGCAGAAUUCAGUGAAUCAUCGAAUCUUUGAACGCACAUUGCGCCUUCUGGUAUUCCGGAGGGCAUGCCUGUCCGAGUGUCGUCGAAACACCAUCCUCCGGGCCUCUGUCACGGCGGAGAGUCUUAGGGGGGUUUUCUGGCCGUCAGGCUGUUGCGGGUCCGCCUCCCAGCGGUCCGGGUCAGUCCGGCUCAAAUGGCAGGUCUGUAGGUUGGAGCGUGCUGCCAGUCGACGUAAUGGUUAAAGUCAUCGACCGUCGUCGCAGCCUCCGGGGCCUCGGGACCUUUAAAACGAUGCAAGCACCUCUUGACCUCGGAUCAGGUAGGGAUACCCGCUGAACUUAAGCAUAUCAAUAAGGCGCUGGUCUAUGUUCCUUGGAACUGGACGUCGCAGAGGGUGAGAAUCCCGUGCUUGGCCAGCUGACCCCUUCCACGUGAAGCGCCUUCGACGAGUCGAGUUGUUUGGGAAUGCAGCUCAAAAUGGGUGGUAAAUUUCAUCUAAAGCUAAAUAUUGGUGGGAGACCGAUAGCGCACAAGUAGAGUGAUCGAAAGAUGAAAAGCACUUUGAAAAUAGAGUAAAACAGUACGUGAAAUUGUUGAAAGGGAAGCGCUUGAGGCCAGACUCGUGCGGGGACGAUCAGCCACCCUUCUGGGCGGUGCACUCGUCUUCGUUCGGGCCAGCAUCGGUCGGGACGGCGGGACAAAGGCUUCGGGAACGUGGCUCCUCUCGGGGAGUGUUACAGCCCGUCGUGCAAUGCCGUCAGCCCCGACCGAGGACCGCGCUUCGGCUAGGAUGCUGGCAUAAUGACCUUCAGCGACCCGUCUUGAAACACGGACCAAGGAGUCUAACAUCUAUGCGAGUGUUUGGGUGUCAAACCCUUGCGCGGAAUGAAAGUGAACGGAGGUGGGAACCCCUCGGGGCGCACCAUCGACCGGUCCUGAUGUCUUCGAUGGAUCUGAGUAAGCAUAGCUGUUGGGACCCGAAAGAGGGAACUAUGCCUGAAUAGGGUGAAGCCAGAGGAAACUCUGGUGGA
rnacentral:rRNA from 1 species